GGAAGGAAAGGGGCGUGUCCACUGGACUCGUGGACUUCGGUAUAAAAGGGACUCGCUCGAUGGCCGGAGCAUCACUCUUCUACCUCCAUCAUGUUCACUAAGGCUGUCGUUGCCCUCGCCCUCGUGGCCGUUGCUGCCUCUGCUCCUUCUCAGCCAGCCUAUGGCUAUGCACCUGAGCCUGCCUAUGAGGUCCCUGCCAAGUACGACUUCAACUAUGCUGUGAAGGACGACUACUCCGGCAACGACUU